UGAACGCUGGCGGCAGGCCUAACACAUGCAAGUCGAACGGCAGCACAGGAGAGCUUGCUCUCUGGGUGGCGAGUGGCGGACGGGUGAGGAAUAUAUCGGAACGUGCCCAAUCGUGGGGGAUAACGUAGCGAAAGUUACGCUAAUACCGCAUACGAUCUACGGAUGAAAGCGGGGGAUCGCAAGACCUCGCGCGAAUGGAGCGGCCGAUAUCAGAUUAGGUAGUUGGUGGGGUAAAGGCUCACCAAGCCAACGAUCUGUAGCUGGUCUGAGGGGACGACCAGCCACACUGGAACUGAGACACGGUCCAGACUCCUACGGGAGGCAGCAGUGGGGAAUUUUGGACAAUGGGCGCAAGCCUGAUCCAGCCAUUCCGCGUGCAGGAUGAAGGCCUC
rnacentral:rRNA from 1 species